UAUACGGUUUUUUUCAAAACCAUGUAUAGUCUAUUUGAAUGGCAU
rfam:Schistocephalus solidus strain NST_G2 genome assembly, scaffold: SSLN_scaffold0000346